UACACUUGACAUACAGAGAACUUACCAGAGAUGGUUUGGUGCCUUCGGGAGCUCUGAUAC
rnacentral:rRNA from 1 species